GAUGAACGCUAGCGGCAGGCCUAAUACAUGCAAGUCGAACGGUGUAGCAAUACACAGUGGCGCACGGGUGCGUAACACGUAUGCAACCUACCUUACAUUGGGGGAUAGCCUUUCGAAAGGGAGAUUAAUACCGCAUAAGACAGUAACUAGGCAUCUAGUAGCUGUUAAAGAUUUAUCGAUGUAAGCUGGGCAUGCGUCCAAUUAGUUAGUUGGCGAGGUAAUGGCUCACCAAGACGAUGAUUGGUAGGGGAACUGAGAGGUCAAUCCCCCACACUGGAACGGAGAUACGGGCCAGACUCCUACGGGAGGCAGCAGGAGGGAAUAUUGGGCAAUGGGCGCAAGCCUGACCCAGCCAUGCCGCGUGCAGGAAGAAGGCGUUAUGCGUUGUAAACUGCUUUUAUACAGGAAGAAACGACCCUUGCGAGGGGCAUUGACGGUACUGUAUGAAUAAGCACCGGCUAACUCCGUGCCAGCCGCCGCGGUAACAC
rnacentral:rRNA from 1 species